rnacentral:rRNA from 1 species
GAUGAACGCUAGCUACAGGCUUAACACAUGCAAGUCGAGGGGAAACGACAUCGAAAGCUUGCUUUUGAUGGGCGUCGACCGGCGCACGGGUGAGUAACGCGUAUCCAACCUGCCCACCACUUGGGGAUAACCUUGCGAAAGUAAGACUAAUACCCAAUGAUAUCCCACGAAGGCAUCGGAAUGGGAUUAAAGAUUUAUCGGUGAUGGAUGGGGAUGCGUCUGAUUAGCUUGUUGGCGGGGUAACGGCCCACCAAGGCAACGAUCAGUAGGGGUUCUGAGAGGAUGAUCAGCCACAUUGGGACUGAGACACGGCCCAGACUCCUACGGGAGGCAGCAGUAGGGAUAUUGCACAAUGGAGGAAACUCUGAUGCAGCCAUGCCGCGUGUGUGAAGAAGGCCUUCGGG